CUACACUACAUGCAUGAUGCAAUUACUUGCACUAUGCUCAGUGUGAAAACAGAGGGGCAGUGGAUCCAGGGGAAAGAGCAAUGGACCUUGAGAAACACCAGCUGGUUGGGUGAUACAAGCCCAAGCUCUGCAGCCAAGUCCCAGCUCCAGCAUGGAGCAGCUCUGGGACCUGGGGCAAGUCACCACCCUCUCUGUGCAUCAAUUUCCUUACUUGUAAAACAGCUGCCAAGAACACCAACCACCAAAGUAGCAUGACAGAUGGAUCUCACCAAAGCCUUGAUAUGAUCUGAGGACAAGAAACUCAGGGAAAAUGUGUUGAUCCGUCAUAUAAGAGGCAAAGGUAUCCUCCUGUACUGGUGUUUGUUGGUAAAUGUUGACACCCAUUAUAUGUUAAUAAUCAUGUUUUAGUUUCUCUUUUUUGUUUCAUUUUCUAUGUACCAAAUUGAAUAAUACUCAGAUGAAGUUAGAUUAUAAUUUCUUUUCAGCUCAAUAAAGGUAAGCAAAUAUAUAGCCAGGGCUAUUUUAACUGGAAAAAAAAAGAAACCUACUACUAACAGUGUCUUACAAGAAAGGUGUUUAAUUUUUUAUGUUAUAAAAAACAUGGAGGCACAUUUUAUGUAUGUCAGCAGUCAAAUGGUGACAGGACCUUGGAUAAACAUCUGGGUUCUCUAGGAUCCCACCUAAUGUUUCAAGAAGAUUGUAACUAUAUUCUCCUAUAGCAGCAUCUAAAGAAGAGAAGAUGAAGCUAAUUCUCAUAUCUAUAUUUUCUUAAAUGAAUAAUCUUAACCCAAAACACUGCUAGAUAAAUUCCUUUUGCUCCUCAUUGGCUGGAUUGGGUCAUAUGGUAACCUAUAGCUACAGAGAGGAUGAGAGAGUGAGUAUCUGACACAGUGAUUGGAAUAAACCUAACCAUGAUCUAGUGCUGGAGAGGUGGCACUUAGACAGAGUGAUGAUGCCUAAACUUCAGAAGUACAGUUAUCUGGCUCCUCUAAGACCUGGACUAACUGUACAUCAUUGACAAGCCAAACAUCUGAUCAAGAAUCACAUUGGAAGACUUCUCAUCAGUGUUGUCCUUGUAAACAAACGACCCCUAUCUACCUUUA